ACCACAACCUGAGGAUGAUCGGAUGAUGAGUGCGGUUUUGACUUGCAUUUCCCUGAUCCUGGAGUGGCUGCUCCCUGAAGAGAGUCCUGGUCCUAGGAAUCUGGGAUUCUACCUGAAGUCCCAAAGAUGAACAAAUGGUAGAGAGGCACCUGACUGAGCCUGCUUCCUAACCGACUUCUCAGAACUGCCUGCCGCUGGACUGCCUAACAGAAGCUCAAGUUCUGGGAUUCCACCCUUGAAGAGAAAUGAAUCUGCACUUAACUUAGUGAGCCCUGUAGGUCAGGACAUGUAGUUCUUGCUACCCUGAAGCUCACUAUGUACGACAGACUGGCCCGAACACACUGAGAUCUGCCUGGUUCUGCCUCCCCAGUGCUGAGAUCAAAGGUCGAGUCUAGGUCAAAGUUGUGGGCUCAGCCGAGAUGGGAGCAUCCCAGCCUUCCCAGGCACUCCCCCUCACUGUGAUGGACACGAGUGAAGGAACAUAGGAAGUCAAGUGUCAAUAACCUCCAACCUGAACCUUCAUGGCCACCUACCAUCCACAAGACAGAGCUGUGCAUAUUGGAGUCAGCUCUUCACCUGUGAUAUCAUCAGGGUCCGGAAGGGAGCUGAGCUUCCAUCAGCAAUGAGACUUAACAGGCAACAAACCCAAGGAGCGCUGUUGGCUUCCUACUGCCCAUACCCACCUCUAGAAAGCAAACCAAUGGUGCGAGGUGCAGAACCUAGCCAAUUCUCUCCUCUCCCUCUCCUAAGCUCAGCAGCAGGGAGAGCUGACCUCCUGUUCUCACCUAGAAGCAGCAGAGCUGUGUGGGUCAGUCCCCUGCUUCCUGCCUCUCUGGACAAUGAAGUCUGCCAGGAGACUAAGUUUCAUUCCCUUUUGAAGGCAAUGGGCUUGCAAGAGUCAGGGCAAAUCUUUCCUCAGGAGAGGUUUUCCCCCUAAUAAAAUAAAGGUGUCAU
rnacentral:lncRNA from 1 species